CUUUCAAACUACAAUACGGGAAAAUGAUAUUUUUGCUGCAGUUGGCCUUACUUUCAGCAGUCCUCAGAGGUGUGCAGUCAGAGGUUCAACUGGUGGAGUCUGGAGGGGAUGUCAAAAGUCCGGGAGAGUCCCUCCGCCUCUCCUGUCGGGCCUCCGGCUUCACCUUCAGCAGCUACGCCAUGAGCUGGGUGCGCCAGGCUCCUGGGAAGGGCCUGGAAUGGAUAGCCUAUAUCGGUACAUAUUCAUCUCCCAUUUACUACUCGGACGCCGUGAAGGGCCGCUUCACCAUCUCCCGAGACGACUCCAACAGCCUGCUGCAUUUGCAAAUGAGCAGCCUCAAGCCAGAGGACACUGCAAUGUAUUACUGUGCAAGAGACACAGUGGGAGGAAGUGAAUCUGCAGCCUGGCAAAAAGCCCUUUCAUUUAUUGCAGCAUUACAUGCCCAUUGA